CGAAGUAUGUCUUCCAUGCAAAUUUUGUAAAGAAAGAGUUUCGACAGAAAUUUUAACAGAUCAUCUGCAAACACUGGUUUUACAAAAUAUAUGAGCUUUAAAAGUUUUUCUUAAUUGUUUUUGCAAUUAUUCUUACAGUUGUUCUUUCGUGGCAACAGUUCCAGAUAAAACUGCGAUGCGGAGGACGAGAAGAUGAAAGAAGUAGAAGUCAGGGCUGUAAGUUAUUCUAUCAUUUAUCAAAUCUAAAAA